rnacentral:tRNA from 1 species
GCCUGGGUGGCUCAGUCGGUUGAGCAUCCGACUCGUAAUUCCAUUUCGGGUUGUGAUCUCGCGGUUCGUGGGUUCGAGCCCCAUCUUGGGCU